UACGUAGGGUCCGAGCGUUGUCCGGAAUUACUGGGCGUAAAGAGCUCGUAGGUGGUUUGUCGCGUUGUUCGUGAAAACUCACAGCUUAACUGUGGGCGUGCGGGCGAUACGGGCAGACUGGAGUACUGCAGGGGAGACUGGAAUUCCUGGUGUAGCGGUGGAAUGCGCAGAUAUCAGGAGGAACACCGGUGGCGAAGGCGGGUCUCUGGGCAGUAACUGACGCUGAGGAGC
rnacentral:rRNA from 1 species